AGCGAAUGAAGUAGGUAGCUUGCUACUUAUGGAUUUAGCGGCGGACGGGUGAGUAAUAUAUAGGAAUCUGCCUUAGAGCGGGGAACAACAGACCGAAAGGUUUGCUAAUGCCCCAUAGGUAUGCAGUCUUCGGAUUGUAUAUUAAAGGAGUAAUCCACUCUAAGAUGAGCCUGUAUCCGAUUAGCUAGUUGGCGGGGUAAAGGCCCACCAAGGCUACGAUCGGUAGUUGGUCUGAGAGGAUGAUCAGCCACAAUGGGACUGAGACACGGCCCAUACUCCUACGGGAGGCAGCAGUGGGGAAUUUUACACAAUGGGGGAAACCCUGAUGUAGCGACACCGCGUGAACGAAGAAGCCUUUUGGGGUGUAAAGUUCUGUCGGCUGGAACGAAAAAAAUGACGGUACCAGCAAAGGAAGCAUCGGCUAACUACGUGCCAGCAGCCGCGGUAAGACGUAGGAUGCAAGCGUUGUCCGGAUUUAUUGGGCGUAAAGAGUUCGUAGGCGGUUAUUUAAGUCUGAUGUUAAAUACUGUGGCCCAACCACAGAACUGCAUUGGAUACUGGAUGACUUGAGUGCGGUAGAGGCAAGUGGAAUUCCCAGUGUAGCGGUGAAAUGCGUAGAUAUUGGGGAGAACACCAGUGG
rnacentral:rRNA from 1 species